GUGGGGAAUAUUGGACAAUGGGGGGAACCCUGAUCCAGCCAUGCCGCGUGUGUGAAGAAGGCCUUUUGGUUGUAAAGCACUUUAAGCGAGGAGGAGGCUACCGAGAUUAAUACUCUUGGAUAGUGGACGUUACUCGCAGAAUAAGCACCGGCUAACUCUGUGCCAGCAGCCGCGGUAAUACAGAGGGUGCAAGCGUUAAUCGGAUUUACUGGGCGUAAAGCGCGCGUAGGUGGCCAAUUAAGUCAAAUGUGAAAUCCCCGAGCUUAACUUGGGAAUUGCAGUCGAUACUGGUUGGCUAGAGUAUGGGAGAGGAUGGUAGAAUUCCAGGUGUAGCGGUGAAAUGCGUAGAGAUCUGGAGGAAUACCGAUGGCGAAGGCAGCCAUCUGGCCUAAUACUGACACUGAGGUGCGAAAGCAUGGGGAGCAAACAGGAUUAGAAACCCCAGUAGUCC
rnacentral:rRNA from 1 species